UCUGAGCACUGUGAAGAUAUUUCUUCACUUCUCCUUAGGGUGUCCACAUCAAGACCCUGGAGCCAUCUUACCACUCUUCUCUAUCAGAGGGGCAUCGCUGAGAUAGGUUCAUUAAUGCUUUUUCCAGCCGGAGUCAAACUUUUUGGGAAUGGGAGGACCGCGGGAGAGUUUACUAGAGCAGGCAGAACCUGGCGCUUACUCCUGAGAAGAUUCGGACGCAGACCGAGGCAAACCAACCAUUGGAAAGUGCAUCCAAUGAGAAUUUUCCCAUUCGGGCCCUCUGAUGCUGACAUGAGGCGGACUCCCGCAGAAGCUCACCCACUUAUCCACGCGGAUUCGGGGCGAUUUCAGGCUGACCUGAGCCGUCAGGGGCGCAACUCGAUUCCGGGUGCAUUGUUAGGAAAGGGCACCCUUCUGGCGGCGCGCCUCGACUCUCGGCUCCCGGCGUCCGCGAAGGACUGGGACCCGCGGCACCCUAAGUCAAUCUACCCCGUCUUCUUGGGUUAAUCCCUUCGCGUUUAACGGGACCCGACGGCCCAAGCCUCGGCAACCAAGCCAGAGUCCUUCUUGCAAUUCUACCAUGGCCCCCAAGAAACUGACACUACGGCGGAUGUUCCCUCCACGCUGGUCAGCAGGUCCCCGGAGCGCAGCACGCAACAGCGCCACAUAGACCCAGACUUCUCCCGGAAUGAGACAAGGGGGCCAGCGCUCCAGGCUGUCAUCCCCAUCCAGCCGGGAGACCAGCCUCUCCUCGACCCACUUGUCCGGCCAGGCUCACCCAGAGACCUCCCAGUUCCCCUGCUGGGCCGCCGCGCUCUCUAGUUAGGGCAGCCUUCAGUGGUCCGGGCGUUCUCGGCCUGAUUCCCUCUCCCCAAUCUCCAAAACAGGUUACCUUGUCCACGCUCUGCAGACCACGCUUGUGACUGUCUCACUUUUAUUUAAGAGUCCGCCCCGGGAAAGAGGAAAAAAAAAAAAAUCCAGAGAAGAUCCGAGUGAAACGGAAAGAAAAAUAUUCAAAAGUGUGUCCACAGCGGAGAAAAAGACUUCACCGACCUUCAAACGACAACAGGGCUUUCAGGAGGGUGCGGGGAGACCGCUUCUCACCGGGACCUCACCAGAAACCCGCGCACUCCAGCCACAUAGCUCCUCUUUUAGCUAGAAAGGACUUCAACUUCACCACCAAGAGGCCCCUUUCCUGAUGCUGGGCAAUCACAGAGGCCCUCAAUGGCCACCCCACACGUGGCGGCUAGCAGCAACCCCCCACGCCCCCCCCCCACACUCCUCCUAAAGGCACUCUGUGGCAAACACAAUCACUAGGUUUUUCUUUCCAACUUUGGUUGGUUUGGCAAUUAACAGUCCUCUUCACUAUAGUGAUCAGUUAUCACCUCAACAGUACACCCCACAAUCCCAUUUAGUACCAGUUGCCUUUCCUGUUGGAAGUGUUCAAUAUGAAAGUAUAUUAAAAUGAAGAUUGGCCUUCUGUCUGA